rnacentral:misc_RNA from 1 species
CCCAGGGCGCCCUGGG